GACGAACGCUGGCGGCGUGCCUAACACAUGCAAGUCGAACGGGACCAGGGGCAACUCUGGUUCAGUGGCGGACGGGUGCGUAACACGUGAGGAACAUGACCUUCGGCGGGGGAGUAGCCGGCCCAACGGCCGGGUAAGUACCGCGUACGACCUUUCGGGGUACGAUCCCUGGAUGGUGAAAGCAGCAAUGCGCCGAUGGAGUGCCUCGCGGCCUAUCAGCUAGUUGGUGAGGUAACGGCNCACCAAGGCGACGACGGGUAGCUGGUCUGAGAGGAUGGCCAGCCACAUUGGGACUGAGACACGGCCCAGACUCCUACGGGAGGGCAGCAGGUGGGGAAUAUUGCGCAAUGGACGAAAGUCUGACGCAGCGACGCCGCGUGUGGGAUGACGGUC
rnacentral:rRNA from 1 species